UGUAAAUAGACUUGUGCGGAGCAGCGCAGGUGAUCAUGAGCGUCGAAACUAACCACCGGAGUCUAAGCCAAGUCAAAAAAAAUUUGAAAGCAGUGCAGUUUUUGGACACCGCUCAGAUCUAUUGAGAGAGACGCACACUUGAGAGACUGCUCCGAAACCAAAACCAAAUCUCUCUCUCUCUCUCUCUCUGCGAGAUUGAAGAAAGCUCUGCCUUUGACAAUGCCAGCCACUGACGCAGACUUCGAUCUCAGACCGUCUCCUCAGUCCGCCUUCGCAAUCGGAGAGUACGCAUUUGCCGAUGUCGGGAAUUUAGAGCAUUGUAUUAAGUAUUUGAAUCAGACCCUUGUUACCUUUGGAUUCCCGGCUUCACUUGAUCUCUUUGCAAAUGAUCCGGUUUCUGUUGCUCGGACUUGCAAUUGUAUGUAUUCGUUAAUUCAGCAGAGACAACGCGAUGUUGAAUUUCGAGAGUCUGCUAACGAACAGAGACAGCGGCUAUUGUCAGACAUAUCAAGAUUAGAAGCUAAAGUUGAGAGGCUUGAGGGGCAGUUACAAGCCAAAGAUAGGGAGAUAGCAACAAUAACACGAACGGAAGCUAAAGCUACAGCAGCUUUUAAGUCCCAAAUUGACAAACUACAGCAGGAGCGCGAUGAGUUUCAGAGGAUGGUCAUCGGCAAUCAGCAAGUUAGGACUCAACAAAUGCAUGAGAUGAAGAAAAAAGAAAAGGAGUACAUAAAGUUGCAGGAGAGGCUAAAUCAAGUGUUGAUGGAGAAAAAGAAGGAAUCUAGAUCAGGCAUGGAGAUAAUGAAUUUACUUCAGAAAGAAGGGCGGCAGCGUGGAACAUGGAACGGAAAGAAGGCUGAUAAUGAAUUUUAUAAAAAGAUUGUGGAUACUUAUGAGGCAAAAAAUCAAGAAUUGAUUGCAGAGAAUGCUGAUUUAAAGGCAUUAUUGCGAUCAAUGCAGGUGGAUAUGCGUGAUUUCAUAAAUGCUCCAAAUGGGCAAUCCAAGCAGUCUCUGGCUGCCAAUGAACGAGUUGAAACUGACCACACACAGUCUCCAUUGGGCGGGAGGACGGAUGUCUUUGAUCUGCCUUUUCACAUGGCGAGAGAUCAAAUAGAAGAAAGUCUCCGAAAUAAGAUGGCUUCCAUAAAGGAGCGCAUGGUUCAAUUGCAAGAUGCACAAAAAGAAGCAGAGGUUACAUCUGAAGUAACUGAGAGAGAGCUUGAGCUUGAAGCCCAACUGGUUGAGGCUAGGAGCAUAAUCCAAGAGCAGGCAUCCAUAAUGUCUAAACAAUUGGCCAAGUCUGAGAGACCGAGGAAUCUGAAUGGCCAUUUUAAUUCUGGCAGGGAGUCUAUCAUUUCAUCUCCCGCUGAGGGGGUAAGAAAUUAACCAGCUUGGUCCCACCCAAAAUUUGUAGCGCCAAUGUUAAAGAUUAUUUGAAGUUGGCUGUAUGCUGAGAUGAAUGGCAGCAAGCAUCUGAGCUAUUGUAGAUUUAUUUCUGACCAGAGCACCCAGAACAGAUAUUUCAACUUUUUCUUCAAUUUGGAUCUACGGCCUUUUUACAUCCCCGACUAGACUUGUCAGUUGAUCGGAUUUUGAUUUGAGUUUGAAAAGUUAAUAGGGUAACAGAUUGAGAUUUUCAGUCCUAUAAUCUAAUCAUGAUCUGAAUCCGAUAACAUGUUGACUUAAAAAAA